rnacentral:lncRNA from 1 species
CCACUCACUAGUAGAUUUGAAUGAAUCAUCUGAUUUCUCAGAAUUUUGGGCUUAGCUUGACUUCAAUUUUUCGUUCAAUUUCUUUGAAAGAGAACCAGUUGCCACCAUUUUUUGAGGAAGCAUUUUUACUCGACUUCUCCUAGGUCGAGUGGUUGUGCUGGGUGGAGGUGGCGUGAAGGAGCCAGAACGGGAGGGUGGUGGAGGAGUGCUUGUAUUAUCUUAAGGGUUCGGCAUUGUAACUAACUUCUUGAGAGAAUUUGUGAGUUAGGCUUUUGGAAGAAAGAACAAUUGAGAGUGAAAUAG